rnacentral:rRNA from 1 species
CUUUCCCUCUUUCUUUAGGCCUAACACAUGCAAGUCGAACGGCAGCACAGUAAGAGCUUGCUCUUACGGGUGGCGAGUGGCGGACGGGUGAGGAAUACAUCGGAAUCUACUUUUUCGUGGGGGAUAACGUAGGGGAACUUACGCUAAUACCGCAUACGACCUACGGGUGAAAGCAGGGGGUCUUCGGACCUUGCGCGAUUGAUUGAGCCGAUGUCGGAUUAGCUAGUUGGCGGGGUAAAGGCCCACCAAGGCGACGAUCCGUAGCUGGUCUGAGAGGAUGAUCAGCCACACUGGAGCUGAGACAAGGUCCAGACUCCUACGGGAGGCAGCAGUGGGGAAUAUUGGACAAUGGGCGCAAGCCUGAUCCAGCAAUACCGCGUGGGUGAAGAAGGCCUUCGGGUUGUAAAGCACUUUUGUUGGGAAAGAAAAGCAGCAGGUUAAUACCCCGCUGUUCUGACGGAACCCAAAGAAUAAGCACCGGCUAACUUCGUG